rnacentral:sRNA from 1 species
AUCGAGUGGGAAUAAGACUACAACUUAAUUUGAAGUGGGAAUACCUUUUAACAGCAUUUGCCCGAAGCUAAAAUGGACAAAAUAAGCUAAAAAUAAGAUAGUUCCCUGACAAAAGCCCUGCCAAGGAAAAAUAUUGGCAGGGAAUUUUGU